rnacentral:rRNA from 1 species
AACGAUGUGAAGUUACUUAAACAACCAGGAGGUUGGCUUAGAAGCAGCCAUCCUUUAAAGAAAGCGUAAUAGCUCACUGGUCUAGUGAUUUUGCGCGGAAAAUAUAACGGGGCUAAAGUAAGUACCGAAGCUGUAGACUUAGUUUACUAAGUGGUAGGAGAGCGUUCUAUUUGCGUCGAAGGUAUACCGGUAAGGAGUGCUGGAGCGAAUAGAAGUGAGCAUGCAGGCAUGAGUAGCGAUAAUUAAUGUGAGAAUCAUUAACGCCGUAAACCCAAGGUUUCCUACGCGAUGCUCGUCAUCGUAGGGUUAGUCGGGUCCUAAGUCGAGUCCGAAAGGGGUAGACGAUGGCAAAUUGGUUAAUAUUCCAAUACCAACAUUAGUGUGCGAUGGAAGGACGCUUAGGGCUAAGGGGGCUAGCGGAUGGAAGUGCUAGUCUAAGGUCGUAGGAGGUUAUACAGGCAAAUCCGUAUAACAAUACUCCGAGAACUGAAAGGCUUUUUGAAGUCUUCGGAUGGAUAGAAGAACCCCUGAUGCCGUCGAGCCAAGAAAAGUUUCUAAGUUUAGCUAAUGUUGCCCGUACCGUAAACCGACACAGGUGGGUGGGAUGAGUAUUCUAAGGCGCGUGGAAGAACUCUCUUUAAGGAACUCUGCAAAAUAGCACCGUAUCUUCGGUAUAAGGUGUGGUUAGCUUUGUAUUAGGAUUUACUCCGAAAGCAAGGAAACUUACAACAAAGAGUCCCUCCCGACUGUUUACCAAAAACACAGCACUCUGCUAACUCGUAAGAGGAUGUAUAGGGUGUGACGCCUGCCCGGUGCUCGAAGGUUAAUUGAUGGGGUUAGCAUUAGCGAAGCUCUUGAUCGAAGCCCGAGUAAACGGCGGCCGUAACUAUAACGGUCCUAAGGUAGCGAAAUUCCUUGUCGGUUAAAUACCGACCUGCAUGAAUGGCGUAACGAGAUGGGAGCUGUCUCAAAGAGGGAUCCAGUGAAAUUGUAGUGGAGGUGAAAAUUCCUCCUACCCGCGGCAAGACGGAAAGACCCCGUGGACCUUUACUACAGCUUGACACUGCUACUUGGAUAAGAAUGUGCAGGAUAGGUGGGAGGCUUUGAGUAUAUGACGCCAGUUGUAUAUGAGCCAUUGUUGAGAUACCACUCUUUCUUAUUUGGGUAGCUAACCAGCUUGAGUUAUCCUCAAGUGGGACAAUGUCUGGUGGGUAGUUUGACUGGGGCGGUCGCCUCCCAAAUAAUAACGGAGGCUUACAAAGGUUGGCUCAGAACGGUUGGAAAUCGUUCGUAGAGUAUAAAGGUAUAAGCCAGCUUAACUGCAAGACAUACAAGUCAAGCAGAGACGAAAGUCGGUCUUAGUGAUCCGGUGGUUCUGUGUGGAAGGGCCAUCGCUCAAAGGAUAAAAGGUACCCCGGGGAUAACAGGCUGAUCUCCCCCAAGAGCUCACAUCGACGGGGAGGUUUGGCACCUCGAUGUCGGCUCAUCGCAUCCUGGGGCUGGAGCAGGUCCCAAGGGUAUGGCUGUUCGCCAUUUAAAGCGGUACGCGAGCUGGGUUCAGAACGUCGUGAGACAGUUCGGUCCCUAUCUGCCGUGGGCGUAAGAAGAUUGAAGAGAUUUGACCCUAGUACGAGAGGACCGGGUUGAACAAACCACUGGUGUAGCUGUUGUUCUGCCAAGAGCAUCGCAGCGUAGCUAAGUUUGGAAAGGAUAAACGCUGAAAGCAUCUAAGCGUGAAGCCAACUCUAAGAUGAAUCUUCUCUAAGCUCUCUAGAAGACUACUAGUUUGAUAGGCUGGGUGUGUAAUGGAUGAAAGUCCUUUAGCUGACCAGUACUAAUAGAGCGUUUGGCUUAUCUUUAAUAAAGCAU